UACGUAGGGGGCAAGCGUUGUCCGGAUUUAUUGGGCGUAAAGAGCGUGUAGGCGGCCACACAGGUCAGCUGUGAAAACUCGAGGCUCAACCUCGAGACGUCGGUUGAAACCGUAUGGCUAGAGUCCGGAAGAGGAGAGUGGAAUUCCGGUGUAGCGGUGAAAUGCGUAGAGAUCGGGAGGAACACCAGUGGCGAAGGCGGCCGGCUGGGGGUGACCGUGACGCUGAGGCGCGAAAGCGUGGGGAGCGAACCGG
rnacentral:rRNA from 1 species